UCUUGGACAAUGGGCGCAAGCCUGAUCCAGCGACGCCGCGUGGGUGAUGAAGGCCUUCGGGUUGUAAAGCCCUUUCGACGGGGACGAUGAUGACGGUACCCGGCGAAGAAGCACCGGCUAACUCCGUGCCAGCAGCCGCGGUAAGACGGAGGGUGCUAGCGUUGUUCGGAAUCACUGGGCGUAAAGGGCGCGUAGGCGGCUGUGGCAGUCGGGUGUGAAAGCCCGGAGCUCAACUCCGGAACGGCACUCGAGACGCCACGGCUGGGGGCCGGAAGAGGAGGGUGGAAUACCCAGUGUAGAGGUGAAAUUCGUAGAUAUUGGGUGGAACACCGGUGGCGAAAGCGGCUCUCUGGUCCGGACCUGACGCUGAGGCGCGAAAGCGUGGGGAGCAAACAGG
rnacentral:rRNA from 1 species